GGAAAGGUGAAAAGCACCCCGGGAGGGGAGUGAAAAAGAACCUGAAACCCUGUGCCUACAAGCACCUAGAGCACGUCAAUGUGUGAUAGGGUACUUUUUGUAGAACGGUCCGGCGAGCGAUUGUAUGCAGCAAGGUUAAGGACUUAAGGUCUGGAGCCGAAGCGAAAGCGAGUUUGAAAAGGGCGUUAAGUUGCAUAUAAUGGGCCCGAAACCGGGUGACCUACCCAUGGUCAGGUUGAAGUGGAAGUAAAAUUCCAUGGAGGACCGAACCGACCUCCGUUGAAAAGGCGGCGGAUGAACUGUGGGUAGCGGAGAAAUUCCAAUCGAACCCGGAGAUAGCUGGUUCUCCCCGAAAUAGUUUUAGGACUAGCCUCAAGUUAGAUACCUGGAGGUAAAGCACUGAAUAGCCUAGCGGCCGAGAGGUUAGCGAAGCUUAUCAAACUCAGAAUGCCAGAGUAUUGAUGCUUGGGAGUCAGACAGUGUCAGAUAAAUGUCAUUGUCAAAAGGGAAACAGCCCAGAUCUACAGCUAAGGUCCCAAAGUCAGGUUAAGUGGAAAACGAUGUGAAGAUACGCAGACAACCAGGAUGUUGGCUCAGAAGCAGCCACUCAUUCAAAGAGUGCGUAAUAGCUCACUGGUCGAGCGUCUUUGCGCGGAGAAUUUAACGGGGCUAAACCUGACACCGAAGCUUAGGCAAUCCAGUAAUGGAUUGGGUAGGGGAGCGUUGUAUACGCGGAGAAACAGUAGCGUAAGCGGCUGUGGAGUGUAUAGAAGUGAGAAUGCCGGAAUGAGUAGCGCGAAUGCAGUGAGAAUCUGCAUGGCCGAAAGCCUCAGGUUUCUGGAGGAAGGUUCGUCCGCUCCAGGUUAGUCGGGAGCUAAGGUGAGGCCUAACGGCGUAGCCGAUGCACAGACGGUAGAGAUUCCGUCACCACCAAAAGAGUUAAGCACAGGGACACAUUUGAAGUCUCAGAGCCGGGUGUUGGUUCCGGUAGAGAUCGAGGGAAAUUAGUACCGAAGUCUGAGAUGGAAGAUGGCGAGAAAAGCUGUGUGUAUUUCUGAGGUGCCCGUACCGCAAACCGACACAGGUAGGUAGGAAGAAGAUUCUAAGGCCAACGGGAGAAGGGUUGUUAAGGAACUCGGCAAAUUGACCCCGUAACUUCGGAAGAAGGGGAGCCUCGAAAGAGGCCGCAGUGAAUAGGCCCAAGCAACUGUUUACCAAAAACACAGGUCUAUGCUAAAUCGAAAGAUGACGUAUAUGGGCUGACGCCUGCCCGGUGCCGGAAGGUUAAGAGGAGAGCUUAGCGCAAGCGAAGGUUUGAAUUGAAGCCCCGGUAAACGGCGGCCGUAACUAUAACGGUCCUAAGGUAGCGAAAUUCCUUGUCAGGUAAGUUCUGACCCGCACGAAAGGCGUAAUGAUUUGGGCACUGUCUCAACAGCCCGCCCGGCGAAAUUGUAGUACCGGUGAAGAUGCCGGUUACCCGCGACAAGACGGAAAGACCCCAUGGAGCUUUACUGUAGCCUAAUAUUGGGUUUCGAUGUUGCAUGCACAGGAUAGAUGGGACACAGGGAAACAGGAGCUUUGGCUUCUGCGGAGUGGCCGUUGGGAUACCAUCCUUGCGAUAUUGGAAUUCUAACCUGCGGCUCUGAAUCGAGUCGGGGGACAUUGUUAGGUGGGCAGUUUGACUGGGGCGGUCGCCUCCUAAAGAGUAACGGAGGCGUUCAAAGGUUCGCUCAGCUUGAACGGAAAUCAAGCAAAAGAGUGCAAACGCAGAAGCGAGCCUAACUGCGAGACUGACGGGUCGAGCAGUAACGAAAGUUGGAGUUAGUGAUCCGGCGGUAUGUGAGUGGAAAUGCCGUCGCUCAACGGAUAAAAGCUACCCUGGGGAUAACAGGCUGAUCU
rnacentral:rRNA from 1 species